UAAACUUUUUGCUUAGCAAAUCCAGGAUCUAUGACAUAAACUAUGCCAUCAAUAGUCAAAGACGUUUCGGCAAUGUUUGUGGAGACAACAAUCUUCCUUCCAGCUGGACCAUUUGGUGUCAAAGGAGGAGGAGCAGGAUCAAAUAUUUUCUGCUGCAUAGCUGGAGGAAGUGUGGAGUACAGAGGCACAACUAAUGCAGGUCCAGCGGUAUCUCCAAAAUUGCCGAUUUCCUUUGUUAUCUUCCGACAGGCAUCUUCAAUUUCCUCCUCCCCAGUAAGAAAGACUAGUAUAUCACCAGGAGGUUCACAUGUAUGUAUUUGAAUAACUGUACGAAUUGCUGCUUCAAGGUAGUCCCUCUCAGGCUCCUG
rnacentral:lncRNA from 1 species